CAACUACUCCCUCUGUCCCAAAAUUCUUGUCUUAGAUUUUUCUAGAUACAGAUGUAUCUAAUACUAAAAUGUGACUUGAUACAUCCGUAUCUAGACAAAUCUAAGACAAGAAUUUUGGGACGGAGGGAGUACUUU
rnacentral:pre_miRNA from 1 species